AUAACUGCUACCUGAAAUAGGAAGGGCUAGAAAUAUUAAACUCAGGCUGAAUAAAGACAAUGCCAAGUGUGCUGGCACAUAUCUUUAAUCCUACCACUGGGUCAGCCUGGUCUACAUAGUGAGGUUUUUUUUUUUGUUGUUGUUUUUCGAGACAGGGUUUGUCUGUAUAGCCCUCACUGUCCUGGAACUCACUUUGUAGACCAGGCUGGCCUUGAACUCAGAAAUCCACCUGCCUCUGCCUCUGCCUCUGCCUCUGCCUCCGGAGUGCUGGGAUUAAAGGCGUGCGCCACCACGCCCGGAGCAAGCCACUUUCUUACCACAACCAUGAAUAGCUCUCUGAGUCCAAGGCCUCAUCCCUGUGUGAACACAGUUAACUUCCUUUUCCUAACAUGAUAUAGAAAGUCCUUUUGUUGAUUACACAUCUAAGUUGUCAGAAAAAGCAUGGGAGAAGCCAGAAAGAUAGAGCUGUAUUCUCAGCGUAUGUAGAGAAUGGGAAUAAUACCCUUCUAUACAUUGACAAGAUGUUUUGUUUUGUCUUAGGUGGCUCUUGUUAGGUAGCCAGGCUGCCUUUGACCUUGGCUGAAGCUCCCUCCUGUUUUGAAAGUGCUGGGCUUAUUUGAAGACAGUGUGAACUGCUUUUGUCAUUACUUUAAUUCAAAUUUUUAUGUAUUAAAAUUUUAAGUUGUGUUUGGGUUUUCUACCUGCAUGUUUGUCUUUUUACCAUGUGUAUGCCCAGUACCUUCAGAGGUCAGAAGAGGGUGUCCAAUUCCCUGGAACUGGAGUUAACAAGGUUGUGGGCUACCAUGUUUGUGCUCUAAACUCAGGACCUCUGGAAGAGUAGUAAGUGCUCUGACCUUCAAGCCAUCUUCCCAGACUUCCUCCCUCAGUUUUUUGUAAUAGUGAGUUUUGUGUUACCCAACCAUUAUAAACACAACUUGGGUGUGGUGGUAUGUACUUCGGAGGCCAAGGCAGGAGUAUCAUGAGAUCCAGGCCAGUCAUGGCUAAGUGGGUGAGUUCAGGACAGCCUGGACUUUAUAGUGAGAGCUUGUUCUACAUAAAACAAGAGGUACAAGAGAACAAAAACAGGUGAGCCGAGAAUGCUGCUCAGAGGUAGAGCAGUGGUCAAGGCCCGGGCUUCACCCACAGCAUGAAAGACACAUUUAAGCUGGGCCUAGUGGUGCAUACCAGACUCUAGAACCUAGGAACCUGAGGCAGGGGGAUUUCCAUUUUAAGGUAGCCAGAAGACAGUGAGGUGAAAUCUCAUAUCUAUAUGUAGAAUCUGUAAGGAGUUGGGAAAGGGGGAAAAUAUCAAAAAAUAUUGUAUAAAAAUUUAAAAAAUAACACAGUACAUUAAACAAGUAACCAAGAAAGGCACAUGGGUUCUCUGAUGAUGAUACGUAUCUGGAACAUCAUAGUUUGAUUGAUAUUUGAAAAAUAUCACACAGUGCUUUUAUAGAUGGCCAUUAUAGAAAAUUACAGAAGAUGCAGGUUUCCUGACUCUGCCGGUAUGUUUGUUACCAGCUCACUGGUGUAGGGUGCAAAGCCGUACAGACGGGGUGUGUGGUAUAUUUUAGGUUUCCUUGCUGUGCUAGCAGACACUGAUAGCUUUACUUGCCAUUGAUGUGUAUACUUUGAGAUUUUUUUUUUUUUAAAGAUUUUAUUUAUUUAUUUAUUUAUUUAUUUAUUUAUUUAUUUAUUUAUUUAUUAUAUGUAAGCACACUGUCACUGUCUUCAGACACUCCAGAAGAGGGAGUCAGAUUUCGUUACGGAUGGUUGUGAGCCACCAUGUGGUUGCUGGGAUUUGAACUCUGGACCUUCAGAAGAGCAGUCGGGUGCUCUUACCCACUGAGCCAUCUCACCAGCCCCCUACUUUGAGAUUUUUUAAAAAAGACAUAACAUUUGCAUAAUGCUGAGGUAAAAAUUCAAUUGCAUGUCAGGAUAAAUUUUUAUGAAUUAUUUUAUUUAGAAAAUAAUAAGUUUUGGAUUUUUUACUCUUGAGUUAGGCCUUUCCUGGUGUUGGUCAAGGGAACCAUGAGUCUGUGGUCUGUAAGACCUUAUCUUCCUUUUGUACAAGUUAGGGUCACUGUGUACUUGCCAGUUCGGUUUACCUUGCUGUCUGGCAUUAUUUGUAUCAUUUUAAGUGGUUAAUGGUUUUUGCACAUUAUCUGGGAGGACCUUUUAGAUAUAACGUUGACAUGAACAUUAUGCUCAUUGAAUUACAUUUCUAUGUAAAAAAUAGAGAUAUUUUUCAUCUUUAUGUACCAGGAUCCCAGGAGCUUGCCAGUCUUUUUCUUGCCAAGAUAACUGUGUGGAAAUGGAACCCAUUUGCUUCUUAGUAAAUAAACAUCCCCACCCUCUUUCUCCUCCCAGCCUCAUGCCAGCCUUUGCCUGCAGCUGCAGUGGCAGGCAUUGUUCAGGAAGUGACCUUGGCUCGAAUUAAUCAAAUUCAGAACACAUAGAAAAGAUUCUUGCUAACAUGCUGACUUGAUAUAGAAUUUUGUCGCAUCCAUUUUCCUGUGCAAUGAGGCCAUCCUGUAAAAAGAGAAGAUUCUUCAAAUUAAACGUGCAUGCACACGCUUCUGUAAGCCAUGGCAAAAAGAACAAACUAGAUGUAUUUUAAAAUUAGAAUUAUAGCCAUAAAAUUAUAUCAUGGGGGUUUGGAAGUUAUUAUUAGAAAAUUAAUUCUAUCUUUUUUUCAACUUGAAAUUAUAAUAUUGAUUUUAUUCAUGGUCUGAAACAUGUAUAUCAAGAUGCACUAUAGAGUUUCUGUGUAAUGAAGACACUAUGCUGUACUCUGGGCCUCUGGUUGCUGUAUAGUAAGUGAUGCAUUAUAAUUUAUUGGUUACCAAUUGCAUUUCAGAAAUAGCUGGUAUUUGAUGAUCUCACUUUGGACAGAACCUACUAUCCUAUACGGGAUCGUUUUAGUAGCCGAUGGCGGUGCCUAUAUGGGUCUCAAAUCUAAACUUGUAAAACUGCUAAUAUUCAACCAGUUGGUAUAUGUUACCUAAUCUAUAAAUUAGGAUUUACUAGGUCAUUUCCAUAGGAGAGUUUGUACAGCUGUUUCCUCCUUGUCUUGUGGGCUUCAAGGAAUGGUGUCUCACACUUGUAAGCCUAGGACUUUGAGGCUGGGGCAGGAGGAUUGCUGCUUUUUCCACCAUUUGGGACUUUAGAGAGAGAUUGUCUUAAAUUCCCUCCCAUAACCAUCCCUUUAAAAAAAAACACGC
rnacentral:lncRNA from 1 species